GGGGAAUAUUGGGCAAUGGACGCAAGUCUGACCCAGCGACGCCGCGUGCGGGAUGAAGGCCUUCGGGUUGUAAACCGCUUUCAGCAGGGAAGAAGCGAAAGUGACGGUACCUGCAAAAGAAGCACCGGCUAACUAUGUGCCAGCAGCCGCGGUAAUACAUAGGGUGCAAGCGUUGUCCGGAAUUAUUGGGCGUAAAGAGCUCGUAGGUGGUUCGUCACGUCGGAUGUGAAAAUCUGGGGCUCAACCCCAGACCUGCAUUCGAUACGAGCGAGCUAGAGUUUGGUAGGGGAGACUGGAAUUCCUGGUGUAGCGGUGGAAUGCGCAGAUAUCAGGAGGAACACCAAUGGCGAAGGCAGGUCUCUGAGCCAAUACUGACACUGAGGAGCGAGAGCGUGGGGAGCGAACA
rnacentral:rRNA from 1 species